UAGAUUACCUCAAUGUAUUAUAUGUAGGGCUGCCUCUGAAGAUGGUUUGCAAAGCCUUUCGGGGGGGGGGAAUAAAUAUAUAAAAAUAAAUGUGUAUUGUUCUUUGCCUCAGAUAGCAAAAUGUAUUGGGCUGGCUCUAGACAUGAAAGAGAAAAACUUGAUACCUUCUGUAAACAAACAAAAUAUUGUGCUCUCCCCUCCAGUUUUCUCAGUUUCCCUCCUGUCUAUCUAUCUAUUCCAGCAGGCUUGGCCUCCCAUUUCAGAAAAUGACUCUGUGUGCUUCGUUCCAUUUAAGUGAAUGGUUGCAGGCACCUGUCAUCGUCUUGGGUUUUUAACUGUGUCUUCCAAAGAAACCUGCAUGCAUGUUUUCUGAACAGACUGAUUCUACCACCAUCAGAGAUCAGAACUUUGAAAAGGGUCCUGAAGACAUAUGUCUUU